UACAAAUACAUAUAACAACGAACAACACAGUACAACCGGCUCCUCUGAUAAAAUAGACAUACAAAUACAUAUAACAACGAACAACACAGUACAACCGGCUCCUCUGAUAAAAUAGACAUACAAAUACAUAUAACAACGAACAACACAGUACAACCGGCUCCUCUGAUAAAAUGGACAUACAAAUACAUAUAACAACGAACAACACAGUACAACCGGCUCCUCUGAUAAAAUAGACAUACAAAUACAUACAAACAACGAACAACACAGUAUAACCGGCUCCUCUGAUACAAUAGACAUACAAAUACAUACAACAACGAACAACACAGUACAGCCUGCUCCUCUGAUAAAUUAGACCUACAAACGUUCUUACAACAAAUGUAUGUUGUACUGUUAUACCACUGUCCAUGGUUAGGGGAGGGUUGGGAUCCCGUUAACAUGUUUAACCCCGCAACAUCAUUUAUGUAUGUGCCUGUCCCAAGUCAGGAGCCUGUAAUUCAGUGGUUGUCGUUUGUUUAUGUGUUACAUAUUUGUUUUUUCGUUCAUUUCUUUUACAUAAAUAAGGCCGUUAGUUUUCUCGUUUGAAUUGUUUUACAUUGUCUUAUUGGGGCCUUUUAUAGCUGACUAUGCGGUAUGGGAUUUGCUCAUUGUUGAAGGCCGUACGGUGACCUAUAGUUGUUAAUGUCUGUUUCAUUUUGAUCUUUUGUGGAUAGUUGUAUCGUUGGCAAUCAUACCACAUCUUCUUUUUUAUAAAUACAUACAACAACGAACAACACAGUACAACCGGCUCCUCUGAUAAAA
rnacentral:lncRNA from 1 species